rnacentral:rRNA from 1 species
UAAUACGUAGGUGGCAAGCGUUACUCGGAAUCACUAGGCGUAAAGCGCAGGUAGGCGGUUGGAUAAGUUUCUUGUGAAAGCUCCCGGCUUAACUGGGAGAGGCCAAGGAAUACUGUUCGACUAGAGUGUGGUAGGGGAAACUGGAAUUCCCGGUGUAGCGGUGAAAUGCGUAGAUAUCGGGAGGAAUACCUAUGGCGAAAGCAAGUUUCUGGGCCAUCACUGACGCUGAGCUGCGAAAGCUAGGGGAGCAAACAGGAUUAGAUACCCUGGUAGUCCUAGCCCUAAACGAUGUUCAUUAGAUGUGGGAGGUAUCGACCCCUUCCGCGUCGGCGCUAACGCAUUAAAUGAACCGCCUGGGGAGUACGGCCGCAAGGUUG